rnacentral:rRNA from 1 species
AGUGAACGCUGGCGGUAGGCCUAACACAUGCAAGUCGAACGGCAGCACAGUAAGAGCUUGCUCUUACGGGUGGCGAGUGGCGGACGGGUGAGGAAUACAUCGGAAUCUACUUUUUCGUGGGGGAUAACGUAGGGAAACUUACGCUAAUACCGCAUACGACCUACGGGUGAAAGCAGGGGAUCUUCGGACCUUGCGCGAUUGAAUGAGCCGAUGUCGGAUUAGCUAGUUGGCGGGGUAAAGGCCCACCAAGGCGACGAUCCGUAGCUGGUCUGAGAGGAGGAUCAGCCACACUGGAACUGAGACACGGUCCAGACACCUACGGGAGGCAGCAGUGGGGAAUAUUGGACAAUGGGCGCAAGCCUGAUCCAGCCAUACCGCGUGGGUGAAGAAGGCCUUCGGGUUGUAAAGCCCUUUUGUUGGGAAAGAAAAGCAGCAGGUUAAUACCCCGCUGUUCUGACGGUACCAAAAGAAUAAGCACCGGCUAAGUUCGUG